rnacentral:rRNA from 1 species
CACGUAGGGGACGAGCGUUGUCCGGAUUCAUUGGGCGUAAAGCGCGCGUAGGCGGUUGCUUAAGUCGGAUGUGAAAGCCCUCGGCUUAACUGAGGAAGUGCAUCCGAAACUGAGCAGCUAGAGUACGAAAGAGGGUCGCGGAAUUCCCGGUGUAGAGGUGAAAUUCGUAGAUAUCGGGAGGAACACCGGUGGCGAAGGCGGCGACCUGGGUCGAGACUGACGCUGAGGCGCGAAAGCGUGGGGAGCAAACAGG